ACUGUGGUCAGUUGGCUGCUGUGAGAAGAAGGAAGAGUCAGUGCUUAGAGGAAUUGCCUACAAGAAAAAUUAAGGAGCACAUCCUGCAGUCUUUUUCACUGUUUACUGGAGCUGUUUCCUUUACAACAUUCCUCAGCAAAGUCUCCAUGUCUCAAUUACAAUGUUCCAUUUAAGCUCUCUGAAGAAAUUUUUUUGCAUCAUCAUUCACUGACAUAGGAUCUCCCUGUCCUAAAACUCUGAAAUGGAGUGUAUUGAGCUUAAAAACUAGUUUAUUGGCCAGGGAUUUAUUUUGCAUUGAACAGAAAUAAGGUGCUAAGCUUCUUCAGUGGAGUCAUUUUCCACCUUCUGACAGAAUACCAGGAAAAUGUUGCAGCUGAGCCUGGGACACUGGUGACAGAUUUUUGUAUUUGUACUACUGGUCUGAAAAGUCUAGUUUGGUUUGCCUUCAGAUUUAGAGAGCUGGUGAGACAGAUCAGUCCAACAUCUACACUUUUUACCAUCUCUGGUUAACCUCCAUCUUCUGUUAGGGUCUUGUUCCAUUUCCUCAUGGACUAGGAAGAAGCCAUAGAGAUUUGAAACCCUGAGAGCUAGAAGAUUUUGGCAAACAGGCACAGAAAGAUUUGAGGUCCCUGUGUACUAGGGGCUGUCUCAUCCUGACAUCUGUCGAACAAACCCUUCUUCACAGAGAUGGUCUUCUUGAGAGGUAGCAGCCAUGGGGGUUGCUGUCCUCCACGGGAGCAUUGUCCUUGUGACCUGACUGGCUCAGCCACCUUUUUAUGCUCUGGAGACAUUUCCAUGGAUGGGAAGGUACAGAUACUAGAAGAGAUCCCGCUUCUGUCCCUGCUGUGGCUGGCAAGGGGUGUUUGACUUGCAGAAGCUGUGUGAGAUGCCUGGCCAAACCCAGGUCCACAUAAUUCCAGCUCUACUGAAUCUUUUGAUGUUGAUUGACCGUUUAAUUUGGGCCACCAAAUCACCUUGGUAUUCAUCUCCUGCCGCAUGAAUGGAUCAACCAUGUCUGCUUCAGUCUGGUGGGAGCCACUCUGUACACUAGGGAGCACUAGGUAACAAGGGGGCUCCUCAUUUACUCUCUCUGUCUCUUCAAAUAGCAAAGGUAAAAAAAAAAGGCCACAGGAGCAAGUCAAGGGAAGGUUCUGGAGCAUGUCAAGUAGAAUGAGUUGCACAACUUGUUCAGUAACCACAAGCAACUAAAGCACAAGAUAACUGAGCUGGUAACAAACCCCCAUGGUUUCCAGUCACUAAAAUGUAUGUGAGAAAGGUAAAGAUACAUGUUAUUAAGAAAAUUCUAUAAUUGUGCCUUGGGAAUUGUAGGGUAUUGCCAGGGCAGUGGCUGAGAAAAAGGCAUAGUAUAUGCCAGACAUCUAAUAUUUGAUAGUCAAUGAGGAAACCAAGAUGUAGCAGGACAAAUCAUCAUCCCAGGUAUGUUUCUUCACCUUUCUCUUUAUUUUAUGAUUCCAUGUGUCCUACUUCUGGUAGGGGAGAUGUUGAAGCAGUUUGAGCCACCGUGGCAACAUGGUCCUGCUUAGCAGUUGUUUGUCCAGUCCAGGAGGAACAUCAUUGUCGCCCAUCAAAAGCCUGACCAAGCUUAAGAUGAAGGUAUGAACCAACUCACGAAGUUUUAAUCUGAGCAAGACAGAGUUGGUGGUGAAGAAGGAAUCUGCAGGAACAUGUAUAUCCUGGAGGAAGAGAGAUUUGGUGUCUUGGUGAGCAUUUGCCUGUCUUUCCACGAAGUGCUGGCAGUACAGAAGUGUUUCUCACCCUGUGUGAAUUGUGAGUGAGGUGUGGUCAGACAGGCAUUGCCUUACCAAUUUCUGGAGUGGAGUAUUUCCUCUUGCUGGGUGUAUCCUUGGGGCUGACAGGGAAACCACUAGAAGAUAUUCUAGCUGAGAUGUGCCAUCCUGGGACAAGGCACUUCCCAGGGCUGUGUCUACACUAGCACAGCUCAACAGUACUGUUGUGUGGAGUGCAGCAGUUAAAUGGUUUGAAAUCUACCUCCUUCAUUUCUUCUUCCUCCCCAAGGCAGAAGAGGUCAACAGGCACUUGAAGAGGGAUUCCCCAGGUUUAAUUGUUCAGCAGUUUCUAGCAAGACACUUUCAGUGGAAAACUCUUGACUCUGAGUUUCUCUUCCAAGGAAGCCCAGAAUGGGUUCAUUGACCUGUGGGGUAUAGACAGGCUUUCACCUGAAGCAGAAGUGGGUCUCCUCAUAAUGGCAGGUCAAAAAGAUGCAGAAAUCAAUGAAAGAUUGUCUGCUCCUGUUGCCACAAGAAGCUCACAAAAUGAAUGUUUUCCUACCUCUGUGUUUUGGUUGACUCUGACUGGAUGCCAGACACUUAUUAAAGUUCCUCUAUCCCUUCCCUCUACAACUGGAUGGGGGAGAGAAAAUACAAUGAAGGAAAAGGGCCAGGAGGGAUCACUCACCAAAUGCUGACAUGGGCAAAACAGACUCAGACUGGGGAUAGGUACUGAAUUUGCUACUAACAAAAUCACAGCAGGGUAAAGAGAAGCAACAUAAAUCUUAAAAACAUCUUUCCUCACCCUUCCCUCCUUCCAGCUCUACUCCUCCCCCCCAGCAGGUUAAGGAGACAGGGAAGAGAGGGUUAUGGUCAGUCCAUCACGAGUUGUUCCUGAUGUUGCUCAGGGAGAAGAGUCCUUCCACUGCUCCAGCAUGGGGUCCCUCCCGUGGGAGACAGCUCUCCAUGAACUUCUCCAACAUGAAUCCAUCCCACAGGCAAUGGUUCUUCACAAACUGAUGCAGUGUGGGUCACCCUUCCACGGGGUGCAGUCCUUGAGGCACAGCCUGCUCCAGCGUGGGUCCCCCACAGUGUCACCAGUCCUACAAGGAAACCUGCUCCAGCAUGGGCUUCUCCUAUGGAUCUGCAGGUCCCUGCUAGGAGCCUGCUUCAUCCUGGGCAUCCCAUGGGCUCACAGCCUCCUCCCAGGCACCCAGCUCUGGCAUGGAGCUUCUCCAUGGGCUGCAGG